rnacentral:rRNA from 1 species
GAUGAACGCUGGCGGCGUGCCUAACACAUGCAAGUCGAACGUUAGCCCAAUCUUCGGAAAGGGUGAAAGUGGCGAACGGGUGAGUAACACGUUGGUGACCUGCCCUGAAGCGGGGGACGAACUACCUCGAAGAAGGAGCUAAUACCCACGAUGUCUAGUCUGUUAGAGGGGCGUAGACUAAAGACUUAGGUCGCUUUGGGUAGGGGGCCGUCGCGGGCUAUCAGCUAGUUGGUGAGGUAACAGCNCACCAAGG